CACACGCAUACACAAAGCACACGAAACACACACACGUAACACACAUGAUACACCCACAAAGCCUUUAAUCAAAGUUCAACUUGUAUUUGCCCACUUUGUUGUUGUUCGUUUUUGGCUUUUAACUCGCUCGCGCCGAUCAAAACUGCCAUUGUAAUUGUUAUCGUAUCAAAACAUAGCUUUGAUCCCAUUUUUGAUAUUUAGCUAUGAAGAUUUUUCCUUCGCAUAUUGCUUUUAAUAUUUUGAUAAAGUAAAAGUUAUUUCACUAAUUCUUGGACUUUUACAUAUACAUAUCUGAAAACUAAGGUUAAACCUCUUUAAGAUCGAAAACAUCUUUAAAUAUAGUAAACAUAUUCAUAUAUUUGCGCAUAUACCCCUAAAAUUGGAAUUUGAUUUUAAAAUUUUAUUUAAGCUAACAUAAAAAUGCGAAAAAUUUCACAAAGUUUUAAUAAACUUUUAGUACGAAAAAAAACCUUGUUUAAAAAGUAUGCUACGAUUUCAUUCUAAUUUUAAAUGUCCCUCAGAUAAAUGUAUAUGAUAUUUAUAGCAAUAUUCUUUAAGAAGAUAUCUUUUAAACUCCAGGAAUUCUUGAAAACAAAGAUAUUCAAACAGAUGAUUUCUGAAUUUGAAAAUGGGAACAAGGUCAAGUUUCAUCGCUGCUGUUGUGCGCCCAAACAACACCACCCCACCCCACCCACUCGCUCUGUCUCUUUCGUUCUGCAUCUGAUCUCAGCUCUGGCACCUCACCACCCCCCUUCCCCGCGCUCUCUCUGGCGCUCUCUCCUCAUUAGCCCCUCUCGCUUGUUCUUUCCAUCGCCGUCUCUUUCCAUCGCAUUAACCUCGCUAGUCUAUUUUUGGUGUUGUUGGUUUUUAAUUAAACGUUAAUCGCCCGCCUAGCUAAUCGCUUCCUCUCGCUCGCUCCCCCCCUCACUGUGAAUUUGGCAAGUCUGCUCUCUCGCUGCCGUCCAUACACACAGCUUACACACACAUCCACAUACGGUCACACCUUUAAGUUGAGCUUAAGUUGUUUACCUGAACUUUUUCAUCAUUGACGCUCUUUCUUUGCCUUCUGUGCUUUACUUUCUUUUGAUUUCAUUUGUUGCCAAUCCCCCGGUCCGCUGUGAACCUCGUUGCUAUCUCUGUCUUUGUUUUUCUUUGACUUUCCUUACUCGCCCUUCCGCCGUUCGUUCGUUCCUUUUGUCUCUUUGGUUCUUCCUUUUUUUAACGCUUUAGUUGUUUACUCUGAUUGUUGAACACACAGAUGGCAGGUGCAUCGAUUUCGAUUUCAAUUUCGAUUCCAUUUCAAUUCGUUUCGUUUCGAUUCUAUUCGAUCGAAUUCGCAUUUGAUUGGCAGCCAGUUUGCAAUGACGCAUAAGUUUACAAUUGGCAGCGUUUGGCUUACAAGCUGAUUAUAAUCAAUCAGACUGCCAGAUAAGGCGGAAAAACAACACGUGACGAGUUGCUGAUUCCCUUUCUGUAGCUCUAUUGCUUUUUGCUUGCGCUUCUUGUCGUUUGAUUAUCGACGAUAAAUCGAGAAUCGAUCUAAAUGUUCUAUCUUAACCGAUAAUUAAUCAACUAUACUAUACACAUAUUAAACUAAUCAAACAUAAGCGUAAAUAACCAAAGUAAUCUCAGUUCAUACGCAGCGUAAAAACUAAAGUUUAUUUGAUUUCAGUCCAAGUUUCGAAAUAGUACAAAUGUGUUUUAUACCAGACAGGAUGAAUAAAAUUCGAUUGACCAAAUUGUA